rnacentral:sRNA from 1 species
CCCUAGCCCGGAUGGGAAGCGGUAUCCUUUUUUGUAGUCGUUGCGAGGCACGAGCAAUACUAUAAAAAAGAUAAAGCGGACAGCCGGAACAGCU